GGGAGGAAGGAAGGAAGGAAGAACUUUGAACUUUCUUUUAGAAACUCAGUUUCUAAGGCUUGAGGGUUCACAGGGAAUUUUUAGGAGUACAAUUAUAGGAGGACAAUUAUUAGGAGUAAAAUAUAGAAUACCCAUUUACAAGUUCCACCAAAAGAAAAGCUUGCACAAUUUUUGAUAACAAUAAGUGGCCAAGUGCAGUAGCUCAUGCCUGCAAACCCAGCGCUUUGAGAGGCUAAGGCAGGAAGAUGGCCUGAGGCCAGGAGUUUGAAAACAGCCUAGGCAACAUAGCGAGAUCCCUAUUUUAAGAGAAAAGAAAGGAAAAGAAAAGAAAGGAAAAGAAAAGAAAAGAAAAGAAAAGAAAAGAAAAGAACAGGACAGGAGAGGAGGGGAGGGGAGGGAAGGGAAGGGAAGGGGAGAGAAAGGGAAGGGAAGAUAAGAAAAGAAAAGGAAAGAAAACAAAAGGAAAGAUAAGAAAAGAAAAGAAAAAGCUAGUCAUGGUGGCACAAGCCUAUAGUCCUAGCUACUUAGAAGGCUAAAGCUGGAGGAUUGCUUGAGCACAGGAGUUCCAGGUCACAGUAAGCCAGUAUACUCUAGCCUAGAUGACAGUGUGAGAUCCUGUCUAAAAAAAAAAAAAAAAAAAAAAGUAAGUGUGAUAAUUAUUAUGUGACUGUGAUAAAGAAGAAAAAAAUGAUUAUUGAGUGGUGGUGUUAAUUUUUAGUAAAUAAUGGUUAGCUCCAUUCUUCAUCACAAUGACUAAAAAGAAAAAUGAAGCAAUGGUUGAAAACAUCAAGCUUUUCCAAGCCAUUUUCCCUUCUUCAAUAGCUAAAAGGUCUGUCUCCUGUCAAUUGACUGUCUUAAAUAUGAACUCAAACUACAGAGUACCGACAAUAAUGGAUAGGUCUGCAAUUCUUCACUUUCUGACAUCUUAUUGAGAGAAAAAAUAGAAUCAGGAUCAUAUUUUUUUUAUUUUUUCUUUUUAUAUAAUAGUGUUCCAGAUUCAUUCAACUUCUGGACUCUAACAUCGCAUUAGUAAAGGCCACAGAGAAUUGCUAAAGAAAGUUUUGGAACCAUGCUGACUUGAUUUUACUCAGACUUCUUCAUUUCAAGCAAAGGAAGCAGAUUCUGGCUCUUUCACCAGAGAAGAGGCUUAGUAAGCAGAUAUCAGGAGCUCACAGGUUUGUUGUGAAAAGAACAAGAUUCCAGGACAAAGCUCAAGACCUAGCUUCCAGGAGCAUGCUUUGAAUGGCCGAACUGGCCUCCCAGGAAAACUUUUCAUCAUAAAUGUCACUGAGCAGUAGAUUCUACAGCUUGCCUUACAGAAGCCAAAUAUUUGACUUUGCUACAAACUCAACUACUGCCUGAGUCUUGCUGCUUAUGAUUGUCUCACAACCACCACUGGCUGGUAAAGCCAAAUGGCUCUGGCACCAUUCUUGCUGCAAGGUGGACUUUGAGUGCUUGUCCAUCCUCAUGUGGCUCCCUUCCGAACCAAAAUCUCACUCCAGCUCAUAUGACUGGUGGGGCCUUUGAAAUAUUAGCAAUAUUUUCUACGUGGAUAAUAGGAUGGAUACUUACAGCUGGUAAAUAAUAAGACAGGUUUCAAAAUACCUGAGAGAGGUGAAGAAGUGACCAGGAAGUUAGUAGAAUAUAGUGGUUUUAAAAAAUAUAGAAAGGUGAGCUGGUUAUAUGUCAUUUACUUCAAAGGAAAGAUUUAAAAAUGGUGGACAAAUGCCAAAAGCAUCCUAUCUUUGUAAUAUGUUGGAUAGGAGCCAAGAAGUAAUCAACAUUUUGAGAUGCAGUACAAGAGAGGAAAUGGCCUUAAAGAAAGAUCGGAGUUCAGUGGAGCCCAAAAAGUGAAGGGAGGUGCAGAAAGAAACAAGUUAUUUAAAUAAUUUGUGGGCCAUAGGAGAGUUUGUUUUUGAUGGGGCAGAGAUUGUUAAAAAAUAAUUGAAUGAUAUUAAAUAGAAAUAUAUAUGCAAAAAUGUCCUCAUCAUUUUUUUCUAUGGUUGUCCACUGAAAUAUUCAAAUAUUUUUAAAUGUAUGAAGCUGACAUUUGAGACAGUGUCAUGCAUGGGAUGAUGCCUAAAGUUGCUCUCCAAAGCAAAGAGACAAAUAAUGGAAUUUUCUUUUCAUUGUUGUUGAAGAGUAUGUCUCAAAAUUGUAGCAUUCAGUAGUUUGUUUCUUUAUAAAAAUUACAACAUUUUCAUUUUAAUGAAUUUACUAAAACUUGAUUAAAAAAAGAACAAAAUUCAACACAAUAUAAAUUUUUACAAUAGAUGUCUUUUAUCGCUAAAAGACUAUUUUAACUUCAGCAAAAAAGAAAUUGUAGAAGAUUUUAGGGAAAAGCCAAUAUGACCUUAGAGGAAUUUGCACUCUUUGGGCUCCACACAUGUGCUGCAGUUAUCAGAGUUCCCUGACUCCAAGUGUUUAUUCAAAUCUGUCAGCUAAAUCAUAGAUCAAAAUGCAAAAUGUAACACUCAGGAACAUUACAUGGAUUUGUGACACUCCCUGGAGGACUUUGGGUCCAUAAAGCAAUGAAUGGAUUAUAAGAAGACAUAAAUAUGGUAUUUUCAUCUAUGACAGGUGCAAUCUUACUCCAAUGUUAUUUAUAUUAUAUAAAAGAAAACUGAACCUAUUUUCCUCAGUCCCUUAGGGAUGAAUAAGUGAAUAGCUCACCAUUAAUUUCCAGUUUCUAUGAAUUCACCUUUGAAAAUGUCAUGUUUUCGAGUUUUUUCAACUGGCCAAUGUUUAUUUAUUUUUACAUGUGUUUACUUAUUUUAUAUUUAUUUAACAAUGAAACCAAAAGGAAAAUGGGAGAUGAAAUUGUGAUAACACAAUAAUAUUUUUUUCUUUUUUUGCCAUGAUCCUAAAUCAUGCAAAAUUUACUCAACUUUGAAUUUUAAUGACCAAUUGGGCACCCAGACUAGCUUCCCAUAAAUCCUGCUCUCAGUCUUUUAACAUCUUUUGCAUCCUCAUCCUUACUUCCUGUUAGUUAGGUGGGUUAUAUGGCGUUCUGGAAAAAGCAUGGGUCUUGAAUUUAGAGGAGGAGUACGCUAGUAUUUACUCCACCUAGCUUGUAUCUUUAUAAACGUGCAGAACUAAAAUUUAACCAUGAGAUUCCUUAAGCUUCUCCAGCUUCAGAAUGUUAUAUUUUGGUCCAGUCAAAAUCUAUGAUUUUUUAAAAUGGUUUUAGCCUCACAAUUUUGAAAAAGAAUCAUGAAGUCAUCAGUAAAAAAGCAGGAGUUUAGCCACAAUAUAAAAUGCCAUUUUCACACUGUAUUAAACUUGGGCCAGUGAAGAAACUGCUGAGUUAGUUUUCUGUCUUGAAGGCUUAGCUGUUGUUUUCUUGUCCAAAAUAGAAAGAAGAUGGAUACUUUAAUUACUUAGGUUAACUACCGCUUAGCUAGAACUUUUGCUUUAUAGGUAACCAAGAGAUUUAUAAGAAUACAUCUUUCAAUAUUAUGGUAAUGAAUGGCAAAAUACUAAUUAGGUAGGAUUAGAAAACAAUUUAAUAUUCUUAUUGCAAAAAUCGGAACCAAUCAGAAUCAUGAUGUUUUACUAUGUGAAAUUGUUUGGCUUCCAAUAAUUAUCCAGUGACAGGUGGCAGCCAUAUUGUGAAUCUCUUAAGCAUUGGUAAAAAAAAAAAAUUAAAAGGUACUUAAAUAAUAAUUAAAAUACUAAAAUAUAACUAUUUAUUUAAUUUUAUCUGCCCUGCUCCCACCCCAGCUCAUUUAACUUAAAAACUCUGUUCUGAAGAAAACUACAAGGAUUUGUCCACAAGGGAUAAAAUAAUCCUCAAUUAAAUUCAAUUCAGCAAAUAGUUAUUGAAUCUCUUUUCAUGUUAUUGAACUUAUGUUCUUUAAUUUCUCCUAUCUUAUUGAAAAAGAAAAUGAUAAUACAUACAAAUAGAAAAUAUUUUAAUUUUAGGUUGUUGCAAAAGUGUUUGCGGUUUUUGCAAUUUCUUUUCAUCAAACCUAAUAAAUUUGGUAAAACAAAUUUUACUUUAUUUUUUAAAAUUGUGUCAAUUUUCAAAAAUAAAUUUCCUGUGAUGUUUUCUGAUUUGUGAUUUUAACCAAUGAAAUGGUCAGUGUGAAAUAUUUUUGUUGUUGUCAUCACUUCAAAGUAAUGAAAACACUUUAGAUUGUUCAACUGUAUAGAAGGUUUGCCUUCACACAAUUUUAUAAAUUGUUGAUUGUGUGUCUCUCUAAGUUUUCUCUAAUACAUGCAAAAUAAUGUUGUAAGUAAAAUGAAUGGCUGAC
rnacentral:lncRNA from 1 species